rnacentral:rRNA from 1 species
CUACGGGUUGCUGCAGUGGGGAAUAUUGCACAAUGGGCGCAAGCCUGAUGCAGCCAUGCCGUGUGUAUGAAGAAGGCCUUCGGGUUGUAAAGUACUUUCAGCGGGGAGGAAGGGAGUAAAGUUAAUACCUUUGCUCAUUGACGUUACCCGCAGAAGAAGCACCGGCUAACUCCGUGCCAGCAGCCGCGGUAAUACGGAUGGUGCAAGCGUUAAUCGGAAUUACUGGGCGUAAAGCGCACGCAGGCGGUUUGUUAAGUCAGAUGUGAAAGCCCCGGGCUCAACCUGGGAACUGCAUCUGAUACUGGCAAGCUUGAGUCUCGUAGAGGGGGGUAGAAUUCCAGGUGUAGCGGUGAAAUGCGUAGAGAUCUGGAGGAAUACCGGUGGCGAAGGCGGCCCCCUGGACGAAGACUGACGCUCAGGUGCGAAAGCGUGGGGAGCAAACAGGAUUAGAUACCCCCGUAGUC